rnacentral:rRNA from 1 species
UACGUAGGUGGCAAGCGUUGUCCGGAUUUAUUGGGUUUAAAGGGUGCGUAGGCGGCCCUAUAAGUCAGUGCUGAAAUAUCCCGGCUUAACCGGGAGGGUGGCAUUGAUACUGUAGGGCUUGAGUGAAGUCGAGGUAGGCGGAAUUGACGGUGUAGCGGUGAAAUGCUUAGAUAUCGUCAAGAACACCGAUAGUGUAGACAGCUUACUAGGCUUUAACUGACGCUGAGGCACGAAAGUGUGGGGAUCAAACAGG